rnacentral:rRNA from 1 species
UACAGAGGUCCCAAGCGUUGUUCGGAUUCAUUGGGCGUAAAGGGUGUGUAGGUGGCGCCGUAAGUCAGGUGUGAAAUCUCGGGGCUUAACUCCGAAACUGCAUUUGAUACUGCGGUGCUUGAGGACUGGAGAGGAGACUGGAAUUUAUGGUGUAGCAGUGAAAUGCGUAGAUAUCAUAAGGAAGACCAGUGGCGAAGGCGGGUCUCUGGACAGUUCCUGACACUGAGACACGAAGGCCAGGGGAGCAAACGGG